rnacentral:rRNA from 1 species
GACAGAGGGGGCAAGCGUUGUCCGGAGUUACUGGGCGUAAAGCGCGCGUAGGCGGUACGGUAAGUAAGGUGUGAAAGCCCCAGGCUUAACCUGGGGAGGUCAUCUUCGACUGCCGCACUCGAGUCGUGCAGAGGGUGGUGGAAUUGCCGGUGUAGUGGUGAAAUGCGUAGAGAUCGGCAGGAACACCAAGGGCGAAAGCAGCCACCUGGGCACGUACUGACGCUGAGGUGCGAAAGCGUGGGGAGCGAAC